CGGAUAAUGAGGCCCGAAUAUGUGUGACGAAACCUUGUCCAGUUGUAAUCGAUUCCCGGACGACUGCUUUUAUGGUCACUGCUGGGGUGAUUGUACUUGCAGUGUUGGUUAUUGUUUGGAUUUUCUUGAGACGAAAUCACAAAGAAAGCCACUCAUCGUAUAGUGCUGUGACAGAAAUUACAGAUAUCCGCGCUUCUCGGCAAUCUCAA